AUUGAACGCUGGCGGCAUGCUUUACACAUGCAAGUCGAACGGCAGCGCGGGCUUCGGCCUGGCUGCGAGUGGCGAACGGGUGAGUAAUGCAUCGGAACGUGCCCAGUAGUGGGGGAUGGCCCGGCGAAAGCCGGAUUAAUACCGCAUACGACCUGAGGGUGAAAGCGGGGGACCGAAAGGCCUCGCGCUAUUGGAGCGGCCGAUGUCGGAUUAGCUAGUUGGUGGGGUAAAGGCUUACCAAGGCGACGAUCCGUAGCUGGUCUGAGAGGACGACCAGCCACACUGGGACUGAGACACGGCCCAGACUCCUACGGGAGGCAGCAGUGGGGAAUGUUGGACAAUGGGGGCAACCCUGAUCCAGCCAUGCCGCGUGCGGGAAGAAGGCCUUCGGGUUGUAAACCGCUUUUGUUCGGGAAGAAAUCCUCUGGGCUAAUACCCCGGGGGGAUGACGGUACCGGAAGAAUAAGCACCGGCUAACUACGUG
rnacentral:rRNA from 1 species